rnacentral:rRNA from 1 species
UACGGAGAGUGCGAACGUUGUUCGGAUUCACUGGGCGUAAAGGGCACGUAGGCGGCUCGGCAAAUCGGUCGUGGAAUCCCGACGCUUACCGUCGGAACGGCGGCCGAAAAUACCGGGCUCGAGGGCGUGAGGGGUCACUGGAACUCCUGGUGAAGCGGUGAAAUGCGCAGAUAUCAGGAGGAACGCCGGAGGCGAAAGCGAGUGACUGGCGCGUUCCUGACGCUGAGGUGCGAAAGCUAGGGGAGCAAACAGG